rnacentral:rRNA from 1 species
GGAUGAACGCUGGCGGCGUGCCUAAUACAUGCAAGUCGAGCGAAUGGAUUAAGAGCUUGCUCUUAUGAAGUUAGCGGCGGACGGGUGAGUAACACGUGGGUAACCUACCCAUAAGACUGGGAUAACUCCGGGAAACCGGGGCUAAUACCGGAUAAUAUUUUGAACUGCAUAGUUCGRAAUUGAAAGGCGGCUUCGGCUGUCACUUAUGGAUGGACCCGCGUCGCAUUAGCUAGUUGGUGAGGUAACGGCUCACCAAGGCRACGAUGCGUAGCCGACCUGAGAGGGUGAUCGGCCACACUGGGACUGAGACACGGCCCAGACUCCUACGGGAGGCAGCAGUAGGGAAUCUUCCGCAAUGGACGAAAGUCUGACGGAGCAACGCCGCGUGAGUGAUGAAGGCUUUCGGGUCGUAAAACUCUGUUGUUAGGGAAGAACAAGUGCUAGUUGAAUAAGCUGGCACCUUGACGGUACCUAACCAGAAAGCCACGGCUAACUACGU